CAUGCAGGUGGUCGGACGCGUUUUGUGUGACAGCGGGUGGCUUAACUACCCGAGUAUGCGAAAGACGGUCUGACUUGAGGACUCGAGAGGGACACGGAAUUCCGGGUGGAGUGGUGAAAUGCGUAGAGAUCCGGAGGAACACCGAAGGCGAAGGCAGUGUCCUGGCGAGUGACUGACGCUGAGGUGCGAAAGCCAGGGGAGCGAACGGGAUUAGAUACCCUGGUAGUCCACGCCCUAAACGAUGCAUAUUUGGUGUGGGCAGUUCAUUCUGUCCGUGCCGGAGCUAACGCGUUAAAUAUGCCGCCUGGGGAGUACAGUCGCAAGGCUGAA
rnacentral:rRNA from 1 species